rnacentral:rRNA from 1 species
AUGCUUAACACAUGCAAGUCGAACGGUAACAGACCAAACAAUAUCCUUCGGGGUGUUGUGGUGCUGACGAGUGGCGGACGGGUGAGUAAUGCAUAGGAAUCUGCCCAGUAGUGGGGGACAACCUGGGGAAACCCAGGCUAAUACCGCAUACGACCUACGGGUGAAAGAGGGCCUCUUCUUGAAAGCUCUCGCUAUUGGAUGAGCCUAUGUCUGAUUAGCUUGUUGGUGAGGUAACGGCUCACCAAGGCGACGAUCAGUAGCUGGUCUGAGAGGACGAUCAGCCACACUGGGACUGAGACACGGCCCAGACUCCUACGGGAGGCAGCAGUGGGGAAUAUUGGACAAUGGGGGCAACCCUGAUCCAGCAAUGCCGCGUGUGUGAAGAAGGCCUGCGGGUUGUAAAGCACUUUCAGUAGGGAAGAAAAGCCUGAGGUUAAUAACCUCGAGUCUUGACGUCACCUACAGAAGAAGCACCGGCUAACUCCGUG